rnacentral:rRNA from 1 species
GGUUUGAUUCUGGCUCAGGAAUGAACGCUUUGGCGGGAUGCUGCCCAUGCAAAGUCGAAAAACAGCACAGCACAGGCUUCGGUCUGGUGGCGAGUGGCGAACGGGUGAGUAAUGUAUCGGAACGUGCCUAGUAGCGGGGGAUAACUACGCGAAAGCGUAGCUAAUACAUACGCCCUUCGGGGAAAAGCGGGGGACCUUCGGGCCUCGCACUAUUAAAAAUGGCCGAUAUCGGAUUAGCUAGUUGGUGGGGUAACGGCUCACCAAGGCGGCAAUCCGUAGCUGGUUUGAGAGGACGACCAGCCACACUGGGACUGAGACACGGCCCAGACUCCUACCUGGGAGGCAGCAGUGGGGAAUUUUGGACAAUGGGGGAAACCCUGAUCCAGCCAUCCCGCGUGUGCGAUGAAGGCCUUCGGGUUGUAAACACUUUUGGCGAAAAAAACGGCACGGGAUAAUACCCCGUGCAACUGACGGUACCUGCAGAAUAAGCACCGGCUAACUACGUGCCAGCAGCCGCGGUAAUACGUAGGGUGCAAGCGUUAAUCGGAAUUACUGGGCGUAAAGCGUGCGCGGUUCGGAAAGAUGUGAAAUCCCAGAGCUUAACUUUGGAACUGCAUUUUUAACUACCGAGCUAGAGUGUGUCAGAGGGAGGUGGAAUUCCGCGUGUAGCAGUGAAAUGCGUAGAUAUGCGGAAGACACCAAUCAGCGAAAACAACUCCUGGGAUAACACUGACACUCAUGCACGAAAGCGUGGGGAGCAAACGGGAUUAGAUACCCUGGUAGUCCACGCCUAAACGAUGUCAGCAACUAGCUGUUGGGGCUUCGGGCCUUGGUAGCGCAGCUAACGCGUGAAGUUGACCGCCUGGGAAUUACGGUCGCAAGAUUAAAAACUCCGAGAAUUGACGGGGACCCACAAGCGGUGGAUGAUGUGGAUUAAUUCGAUGCAGCACCCGAAAAACCUUACCUACCCUUGACAUGUCUGGAAUCCCGAAGAGAUUUGGGAGUGCUCGCAAGAGAACCGGAACACAGGUGCUGCAUGGCUGUCGUCAGCUCGUGUCGUGAGAUGUUGGGUUAAGUCCCGCAACAGGCGCAACCCUUGUCAUUAGUUGCUACCGAAGGCACUCUAUUGGGGCUGCCGGUAUUAAACCGGAGAAGGUGAGAUGACGUCAGUCCUCGGCCCUUAUGGGUGACCCCCAUCGCCCUGGCUGGUCGGGACGGAGGUCGCCCAGCGCGAGGGGCCAAUCCCGAAACCCGAUCGUGUUCCGGAUCACCAGUCUGCAACUCGACUGCGUGAAGUCGGAAUCGCUAGUAAUCGCGGAUCAGCAUGUCGCGGUGAAUACGUUCCCGGGUCUUGUACACACCGCCCGUCACACCAUGGGAGUGGGUUUUACCUAACCGUAAGGAGGGCGAUUUUCCACGGUAGGAUUCAUGACUGGGGUGAAGUCGUAACAAGGUAG